ensembl:lncRNA
GUGCAGGUGCAAUGCGCUGGCAAAUCCACCUGCAGAAAACACUGCCAUUCCCUUUAGAAACAAAGAAACCACUCUGCCCUUGCUCCUGAGCCUGGUCCCUGCCUCCACCUGCAGGGCUUGGCUAUCCUGGCUCUGUUCAUGGGCCACUAAAUGAAAUCCAGACAACAGAAACAAAAAGAGGCAGAGGACUGGCACUAAUACUUCCCCGUUGGCGGGAAUCUCAACAGAAAGUGUUGUGCUAAAGCUGUGAGGUUCAGGGAACACCCCUAUCAAGGCAAAAGACGUAGUAUGGAAGGUUUGGUUAGUCUUCUGACUAGAAGAAGAGAAAGGACUAUUACCUCCUAUUUUAUUUUUCUUUCAGUCUCUCUCGUCAUGUAGAUCUGAGGAUGACCAAAGCCUGUUGCCCCAAGCAUUGCUGAACCCAUCAAAAUGGUUGCUCAGAGGUAUUGCACCGGCACAUCGCACAGAAGAACUGUGUAACCUAAGUAGCAAGGGGUGAACAAAGGGGAGCGGCUAACAUUCAUUACCUCCCCUAAACUGAUAGUCGUUGGCUUCUUGUCCCAUCCAAAUCCUGGCAAGCAGGAUAACAAAGAUUUAGUGAUGUUUACAACUGUGGUAGGGAUUGCUGGAUACAACCAGCCACCCAAGGCUGAGCACGCUCUCCGAUCCCUUUCGCAAUUCUAGAAAUACCCAGAAGAGCUCCGUGUUCUCUUGCUUUCAUUUCCUUACACGAACCAUUUUCAAAUGCACGUUGUUAUAGGCUGACACAAGAUCUAGGGCCUAAAGCCACAGCCACAGAGGUGGACACUGGCCCCAGGGCCUGAAUCCAUAUCUACAGCCAGACAGGCCGGCACCAGCUCUGGGGCUUAAAGCCAAAGCCAGAGAAGCUGGCAAGGUCCCUGGGACGUAAGUCCACAGCCAGAGAGGCCGGCACCAGCCCUGUGGCCUAAAAACAAGGACAGAGAAACUGGCACCAGCCUCGGGGCCUGGAACUACAGCCACAGCUGGAGAGGCCACUACCAGCUUUGGGCCUAAAGCCACAGCCACAGCCAGACAAACCAGCACGGACCCUGGGGCCUGAAGCCACAGGCUCAGCCUGAGAGACCGGCACCAGCUCUGGGGUCUAAAGCCACAAAAAAAGAGGCCAGCACUGAGCCCAGGCCCUAAAGCCACAGCCUGAGAGGCUGACGCCGGCCAUGGGGCUUAAAGCCAAAGCCACAGCCAGGCAGGCCAAAAAAGGCCCUGGGGACUAAAGGCACAGCUUGAAAGGCUUGAAACAGUGCAGGGGCUUAAAGCCACAGCCAAACUUAGAGAGGCCGGCACCUGAAGCCCCAACCAGCAAGGCCAGCACCGGCCCAAGGGCCUGAAGUCACAGCCAGAGAGGCCUACACCGGCCCCAGGGCCUUAAGCCCCAGACCCAGUCUGAGAAACCAGCACCAGCCCCAAGGCCUGAGGCCACAGCCACAGCCACACAGGCUGCCAGCGACCACAGGGCCUAAAGCCACAGCCCAAAAGGCCAGCACUGGCCCCGGGGCCUAAAGCCACAUCCAGAGAGGCUGGAACCAGGCCAAGGGCCUAAAGCCACAGCCACGGCACAAGAGGCCAACACCAGCUUUGAAUAUAAAUCCACAGCCCAAGAGGCCUAUACCGGCCCCGAGGCCUGAAGGUACAGCCACAGCCUGAGAGGCCUACAUCGGUCCCCGAACCUAACGCCACAGCCAGACAGACCUGCACCAGCCCCGGGACAUCCAGGCGUGCGUUGCUAUUGGUUUCCAGUGAUUCCUCUGGGACUCCAUUGACCACUGUGAAGCCGUAUUGGUCUUUUCUGUUUUUUAUUGGGCUGCACAAGAGUCGUCUUCACUUCUCCAUUCCUGUUCUUCAGAUAACCCCAUUGGGUGACCCUAAGAUGUGGAGCUGGGAGGCGUCCAUUUCCUUCGCUUAUGAUGAAAGCACCGAGGCGAUGCGGGCACUCGCUGAGGUCACAACCACUGCUGGGGUGGGAGCGUUUGUGCCACAGCUGGUGAGCAGAGCUGGUGCUCUGGUGAGCGUGCUGCACGCAGAGACUGAGCUCUGGGCCUUCUGUGGAACAGAUCACCCUGUGAGAGCCCGACGGAAGCAUCGCGUGUGCACUCGUCGGUACUUUCUGCAGGAUUCCUGUCCCAAAGGAGAUUCCGGGAUCGAGGCGGUCUUAGGAAGAGGGAAGCCAGCUCUUUCCAAGGGCUGGGGAAGUUCCUGCAGAGAGAGCCUCUGGAACUUCAGCUUCCUCUGAGCCUUCAGCAGCCAUGUCUCAGCAAGGAGACGACCGCGGUUCCAAUUGCUGCCGUGUGAGUGGCAAGGUAUGGCUGGGCUUCUUCUGCUUGGUGCUUCCGUUUCCUUGUUUUCAAGGGGAAGGGACGGAGCAAGGGGAGCCCUGCUGGUCCUUGGUGACCUCAGUAACCGGUUGGAUUCAGCGCUCACUGCUGACAGCCUGGGCUAACAACGUGGACGUGGCUCAGGCUGUCUUUUCCCAUAGUGAUAAUCAGUGUCUCAGCACUCUGAUAUCCCAUCUGUGGCACGAUCUGGAACCUCUCUGCAAACCUUGGCUGCCCGUUCCCACCACCGUUUCUCCCUUUCUCUCUUCAGAAGUGGCGCGGUGCGGUUCCCCGCGGUUGGGAGCAGCAGCCAGCAGGCUGCCAGAGAUCCAACCGCGCCUUGCAGCGCACAGGGGGACGCAACAGGGACGGGCGGUCCUUCCUGCCAUACAGAAGUGAGUUUCUUCAGCCCUCUGUCGCAAAGUGUGGAGGAAUGAAUUUUGAGUAUUCCUUCUGAGCGGGUGCAGUGCUGUAGGGGAUGUCAAGUAAGCAUCCAUUUGGAGUGCAGGAAGGAGCAGUGCAAAGUGAACUAUCAAUCCGUUUGUGUUUGGGCUGUCAAAGAAGCAUCUUUCUGUUUCCUGGGGGGACGUGGGCUUACUGCAUGAUAUUUCUGCUGCUGCCUGCUGGUGCCUGUGAAAUCAACGUUGUGGAUUUUUUACAAUGUUUCUGUAGGGAUGGAUCCUGCGCGUCCAUGGAGUGGUGCUGGGCAAGGGGGGAAACGGAAAGCCUCCGCAGGUAAGAAGCUCAUGUGAGCUGUGCUAUGGGUAUGCGCCUCUAAAUAGGGCUGCAUGAAGGGCAGUGUGUGCGAUGGAGGGGAGAGGAAAGGGCACUGCACAUCCGUGCUGGGAACCCAACGUUCAGCCAAGAUCCUAAGAUCCCUUACCGUGAGCACUCGAGACAUCCUAGCAUGAUGGCCCAUUCUGCAGAGUGCAAGGACUGCAAGGACUCUCUUUCAAUGUUGUUGCUUCUCCUUUCCCGAUUAUCACAGAGAGAGGUGCCGAGCCCAACGGAAAGAUCUACGCAAAAGCGGUGCAGGAAGUCCUUCUGGAGAGAGCUCAUCUCCAGGCUGGAGGGCUUCCUACAACAGCAGGUCCCAGCACAGGGGGAAGACCUUCCCCUGCCGUGUGCCCCCGCUCUGUCUCCAAGUCCUUGGCUGGAUGUAAACGCAAAGGCUUGGAAGAAGCGAAGCCAACAGCAGUGCAGCUGCCUGCUAACAAAAGAGUGAGGGGGCCGAGCGGAGACAGCGUGCCAGCUCCAGCAGCACACCCUGGGCCUGCUGCAGCGCGGAGCUCCAAGCUAAGAGGUGAGAAGGUGCUGUGGGACCCACCCUGGUGAGCUGCUGCCCUUUUCAAGCACACUGAGUUUGCUCAGGGUUCGCUUUGCUUUUUCCUUCUCUGUGGAGGGGACAAGAGUGGAAGGCUACAAAGUCCAAAGGCAGUGAGGUGCCAGAACACGUAACCCCGUCUCCUUCCAUUAACUCCAUGGUGGUCUUCUGCACGUCCCCCUGGAAAUGUCAUUCACUGGGAGGCUUCCUAGUCCCAUUUCCUCUGUCUUUUUGCUGCCUUCUGCCUGUACGGCACCCCUGUUUCUGCAGUUGCGCUGCUGACAAAACGUAUUCACGUUUAUUCUUGCUUUCUAGCGAGAAGACGCCAAGAGAAAGAGAGGAGAGGGGAAUCGAUGAAGGCUGCCCUCAGAGCUGCCGCUGCACGUGCAGAGGUGAGUCCUUGGUGAACGCAGACACGGCUCUGGUUGUUCUCAGGGCCUCUGUCUGUCAGACAUGAAAGAAAGAGACUGUAAAUUCCCGAGGGAAGAGGUGUCCUGUUUCUACCCUCGCUCCGUUUCUUUCCAGGCCUCCGCAGUGAACAGCCUUGUGGAGAUGAUGCAGAAGCUGCAGCUGAAGGACUGAGAGGAGGAGCGUCAGCAGGCAGCGGCUGCAGUGCGCGGCGUUACAGGGCAGCGCUGCGAGUGCCGCCCAACUCGGCCCUCCAACUUCAGAUGGAGUCAAUAAAUACCAGACACAAUGAGAGAUUCACACAGAGCGCACGGCCUCAUUUGUCCAGC